UACAGAGGGUGCAAGCGUUGUUCGGAUUUAUUGGGCGUAAAGAGCGUGUAGGCGGCUUUACAGGUCCGUUGUGAAAACUCGAGGCUCAACCUCGAGACGUCGGCGGAAACCCUCUGGCUAGAGUCCGGAAGAGGAGAGUGGAAUUCCUGGUGUAGCGGUGAAAUGCGCAGAUAUCAGGAAGAACACCCGUGGCGAAGGCGGCUCUCUGGGACGGUACUGACGCUGAGACGCGAAAGCGUGGGGAGCGAACAGG
rnacentral:rRNA from 1 species